rnacentral:misc_RNA from 1 species
CAUUAAACACCCAUCCAUACUGAUGGGUCAUCAAUCUAUUCAACAGCAUCUCACACUGUUUCAUCACCAUCACAUUUGUAGUGCUUGGUGCUAGAGCCUGCUUUGCAGACUUGAACCUCCCAGAACUACUCCUAUUCCAUUCACGCCCCUUACCUAUAGGAUUUGCCUUCUUCCCUGGCCCAGAGGUCAUCACAGAUGACUUGCUAAAAUUUGCAGCUCGAGGCCCAUUUGCGCCAUUGCUGCAACUGAGAAUGUCACUGGAAGAAGACACUGUAACGGCAUUCACUUUCUGCAACUCCACUUUCUUCUGGAGUAUCCCUAACUGUUCAAGUUCGAAUCUCAACCUAUGUAUUACAACCUUUCUUUCAGAUGGCGACAUGCGUGAUAGGGAAAGGACUUGUUUAGGAACACCAAAAGUAUCCUCUUUAUUUGAAUUUAAAUUAAUGCAUUUCCUUGUAGGGGCACUUGAAUCCUCAGAAGCAGUAACCUCUAUAUCAAUCCGUCCUGAGCUACCAGAACCCUCCAAUUCACCUGCUGUCUCAAAGGCAUUUCCAUAAAACCUUCCAUGGAAUUUAUCAUUCUUCACCAUCAUCUUUUAUUCCAGUAAUUCUUUAGUUCUUCUAUUCACUGGGACAAAACAAUUCGCUUACUACCAACUCUGCAUAUACAAACCAUGGGAAUAACGUUACCCCCACAUACUUCCACAUAGCCUUAUCUAGCUGCUGUGUGGCUUGAACAAGACAUGAUAAGGCUCCAUUGAGUUUGGACAAAAACAUUUCACCAU